UUGCACAAUGGGGGAAACCCUGAUGCAGCCAUGCCGCGUGUGUGAAGAAGGCCUUCGGGUUGUAAAGCACUUUCAGUAGGGAGGAGGUAGUGUAGUUAACACCUGCAUUAUUUGACGUUACCUACAGAAGAAGCACCGGCUAACUCCGUGCCAGCAGCCGCGGUAAUACGGAGGGUGCGAGCGUUAAUCGGAAUUACUGGGCGUAAAGCGCAUGCAGGCGGCCUGUUAAGUCAGAUGUGAAAGCCCGGGGCUUAACCUCGGAAUUGCAUUUGUAAACUAGGCAGGCUAGAGUCUUGUAGAGGGGGGUAGGAAUUUCAGGUGUAGCGGUGAAAUAGCGUAGAGAUCUGAAGGAAUACCAGUGGCGAAGGCGGCCCCCUGGACAAAGACUGACGCUCAGAUGCGAAAGCGUGGGGAGCAAACAGGAUUAGAUACCCCUGGUAG
rnacentral:rRNA from 1 species